GCCAUAAACAGUAAAAGAAGGGUAUACGUUUACCUUAGCUUUGAAGUCACGGGGGUAGUAGUUUUCACCGCACCACCAGUUCCCCACACAAUCUUUAGUUAGUGGAGAAUCCAUUUUCCAUGGUAGAUUGUCAUACUAUGUUAACAAACAAAGAGGCAAACAUCCAUUCUUGCCGGCCCCCCUAUAAGUAGCUUAUCACAUCACACUAAGUUUAUUAUCUACUAGAGAGAGUUGUGCAAAACCAUUCAGUUCAAGCAAUUUGAGCAGAAUUAUUACACUAUACGUAAUGAAGACCGGUGUGAUCAUGGUUGUUGGGAUGAUUUUCAUCAACUUAUGCACCUGCAUGCCAAGAAAUGUGGCAAACCAUGGAUCUCACGAUACAACUGUGCCUGAGAAGGAAAUGCGCAGUCUGAUGUCUGGCACUGACGGAAGGAACGGGCCUCCGAGCAACGAUCACCAGUGCCCACUUGGGACCUACCCUAAUUGCCAAGUGAUGUCCCAGAAUACUGAAGAAACAGUUCAAGAUGUUGGAGGAAACUAAGGCAAACUGAAGGAUUAUGAGAAUUGAAUGAAUACCGCAUGUUUAUAUUGCUUUUACUUCCACGUAUGGAGUCAUUUGGCAUGAGAUAUGUGCCAUGCAUGUCGUCAAUGCUUCUGCGUAGUCCGUAGCACCCUAGAAGCUACCCAUCAUCAAGUUCUCAGGAAUCUACCUAUCCUAUAUGCUACGUACUACUGGUUGAAUUUACAGAUACUCAUAUGUGUGUGAUACUUGAGUAAAAUAGUUUCAAAGCUAAGAUACAGUAAAUGUCCUACCUAUGCACUACCACAGCGCUCGGACGCUCGGGUAGAGAUGCUUGCGCUUCUAACCCAGCAUCCCUCAGGCAGAGAUGUUUAUGCUUAUUGUUCAGUUAAGGAAACAAUACACCCUUCGAACUCUA